GUCCGCACGGUAAACGAUGGAUGCCCGCUGUUGGCCUGAAUAGGUCAGCGGCCAAGCGAAAGCAUUAAGCAUCCCACCUGGGGAGUACGCCGGCAACGGUGAAACUCAAAAGGAAUUGACGGGGGCCCGCACAAGCGGAGGAACAUGUGGUUUAAUUCGAUGAUACGCGAGGAACCUUACCCGGGCUUGAAUUGCAGAGGAAGGAUUUGGAGACAAUGACGCCCUUCGGGGUCUCUGUGAAGGUGCUGCAUGGUUGUCGU
rnacentral:rRNA from 1 species